CCUACGGGAGGCAGCAGUGGGGAAUUUUGGACAAUGGGCGCAAGCCUGAUCCAGCAAUGCCGCGUGCGGAAAGAAGGCCUUCGGGUUGUAAACCGCUUUUGUCAGGGAAGAAAUCUCUUGGGCUAAUACCUCGGGGGGAUGACGGUACCUGAAGAAUAAGCACCGGCUAACUACGUGCCAGCAGCCGCGGUAAUACGUAGGGUGCAAGCGUUAUCGGAAUUACUGGGCGUAAAGCGUGCGCAGGCGGUUGUGCAAGACAGAUGUGAAAUCCCCGGGCUCAACCUGGGGACCCGCAUUUGUGACUGCACGGCUAGAGUGCCGCAGAGGGGGAUGGAACUCCGCGUGUAGCAGUGAAAUGCGUAGAUAUGCGGAGGAACACCGAUGGCGAAGGCAAUCCCCUGGGCCUGCACUGACGCUCAUGCACGAAAGCGUGGGGAGCAAACAGGAUUAGAUACCCUGGUAGUCCACGCCCUAAACGAUGUCAACUGGUUGUUGGGAGGGUUCCUUCUCAGUAACGUAGCUAACGCGUGAAGUUGACCGCCUGGGGAGUACGGCCGCAAGGUUAAAACUCAAAGGAAUUGACGG
rnacentral:rRNA from 1 species